AAAGUCGUAACAAGGUAACCGUAGGUGAACCUGCGGUUGGAUCAUUAAAAAUGAAUAAAGAGUUUGACCAAAAAUUAGGCUCUUUUUUUACAUUUGUGAAUUGUUUAUUGUCUCUUGCUCAUUUUAAUUAAUUUAAUUAUAAUGGGCAACAACCUUUAUAAGGUAAAACCUAGUAUUGAAAAUUGACUUUGUUGAAUUAAUUAAAUUUAAAACAACUUUUGACAACGGAUCUCUAGGCUCUC
rnacentral:misc_RNA from 1 species